GGUCAAGUGAUGGAAUUUGGUAUACAUACCACACUCAAAAUGUGGGUUCUAAGAGUUCGAGUCUCUUCUUGACUACCA
rnacentral:tRNA from 1 species